GCUGAGUGUGGUGGCACUGGCCUGUAGUCCCAGCUACUCAGGAGGGGAGGCUGAGACUGGAGGAUCACUUGAGCCCAGAGUUCUGGGCUGCAGUGCACUAUGCCGGAUGUCUGCACUGAAUCUGGCAUUGAUAUGGUAACCUCCCAGGAGCAAGGGACUGCCAGGUUUCCUAAGAAGAGGUGGACUAGCCCAGGCUGGGAAUGAAACAGGUCGAAACUCCCAUGCUGAUCAGUAGUGGGAUCAUGCCUGUGAAUAGCCACUGAACUCCAGCCUGGACAACAUAGCCAGACCCCGUCUCUU
rfam:Papio anubis isolate 1X1155 chromosome 18, whole genome shotgun sequence.